rnacentral:rRNA from 1 species
UACAGAGGGGGCAAGCGCUGUUCGGAAUUACUGGGCGUAAAGGGCGCGUAGGCGGCCCGCUAAGUCGAACGUGAAAUCCCUGGGCUCAACCCAGGAACUGCGUCCGAUACUGGCAGGCUUGAAUCCGGGAGAGGGAUGCGGAAUUCCAGGUGUAGCGGUGAAAUGCGUAGAUAUCUGGAGGAACACCGGUGGCGAAGGCGGCAUCCUGGACCGGUAUUGACGCUGAGGCGCGAAAGCCAGGGGAGCAAACGGG